rnacentral:rRNA from 1 species
GACGGGGGGGGCAAGUGUUCUUCGGAAUGACUGGGCGUAAAGAGCUCGUAGGCGGUUGGGCAAGUCACGUGUGAAAUCUCCACGCUCAACGUGGAGGCGCCACGUGAGACUGCCCUGACUCGAGUCCGGUAGGGGAGCGUGGAAUUCCCGGUGUAGCGGUGAAAUGCGCAGAUAUCGGGAAGAACACCCGUGGCGAAGGCGGCUCUCUGGGACGGUACUGACGCUGAGGUGCGAAAGCGUGGGGAGCAAACAGG